CUGGUUGGUUUUAUGGUAGGGCUUGUGUUUGGUAGAAGAGUGAUAGAGAGAAGAGUGAGUGAGCGAGGAGUGAGUGUGUCUGAGAGUGAUUCAUUCGGAUCGAUCGAGUGUUCAAUUCCAAUGGCAUCAUCCAAUUCCACUCAGCAAGAUGUCAACAAACCUGCCAAGAGAAAACCCGUCUUCACCAAAGUGGAUCAGCUCAAACCCGGAACCAACGGUCACACGUUGGUGGCCAAGGUCUUGUCCUCCGACACCGUCGUGCACAAACCGCGACCUUCCUCUGCCCAUAACAUCAAACCCACUGUCAUCGCCGAGUGCCUCAUCGGCGACGACACCGGCACCAUCAUCUUCACCGCUCGCAACGAACAAGUUGAUUUGAUGAAGGCUGGUUCUACUGUAAUUCUUCGUAAUGCAAAGAUUGACAUGUUCAAGGGAUCAAUGAGGCUGGCUGUUGACAAAUGGGGGCGUGUUGAGGUAACUGAACCUGCAGAUUUUGUAGUUAAAGAGGAUAAUAACCUAUCCCUGGUUGAAUAUGAAUUGGUGAACGUGGUUGAAGAAUAAUCCCAUGGAAGAGAGCAAGGAUAGCUUUAUGAUUUGGUUAUGGUGCAUUGGAUACCCUCAAGUUUCCUGUGCAUCGAUAUACAUAGGUAUGCCUGUGUUUGAGUUAAUGAAGCAGCGCAAUCAUUAUUCAUAGCUUUGGCUUUAUGAAGCAGCGCAAUCAUUAUUCGUAUCUUGGCUCAAAUAAGAGAAGACAGUGGUUAAAAAUUUGGGUUAAAGUCAACAGUCCAUAAUUUCUGUUUCUUCUGCUAAUGAAAUUCAAUGACCACUGUGUCAUUCAUGCUCACAAUAUGUUUUUAUUUUGGUUGUGUACGUCAUAACUUUUUUCCCGUGAUAAAGAAUUUUGUUCACUAUUA